rnacentral:rRNA from 1 species
UACGGAGGGGGCAAGCGUUGUCCGGAUUUAUUGGGCGUAAAGAGCGUGUAGGCGGCCAGGUAGGUCUGCUGUGAAAACUCGAGGCUCAACCUCGAGACGUCGGCGGAAACCAUCUGGCUAGAGGCCGGAAGAGGAGAGUGGAAUUCCUGGUGUAGCGGUGAAAUGCGCAGAUAUCAGGAAGAACACCCGUGGCGAAGGCGGCUCUCUGGGACGGUACUGACGCUGAGACGCGAAAGCGUGGGGAGCGAACAGG